AUUGAACGCUGGCGGCAUGCUUUACACAUGCAAGUCGAACGGCAGCGCGGGCUUCGGCCUGGCGGCGAGUGGCGAACGGGUGAGUAAUAUAUCGGAACGUACCCAAGAGUGGGGGAUAACGUAGCGAAAGUUACGCUAAUACCGCAUACGAACUAAGGAUGAAAGCAGGGGAUCGCAAGACCUUGUGCUCCUGGAGCGGCCGAUAUCUGAUUAGCUAGUUGGUGAGGUAAAGGCUCACCAAGGCAACGAUCAGUAGCUGGUCUGAGAGGACGACCAGCCACACUGGAAAUGAGACACGGUACAGACUCCUACGGGAGGAAGCAGUGGAGAAUUUUGGACAAUGGGGGCAACACUGAUCCAGCAAUGCCGCGUGAAUGAAGAAGGCCUUCUGGUUGUGAAGCUCUUUUGUCAGGGAAGAAAAGGUCGUGGCUAAUAUCCACGACUGCUGACGGUACCUGAAGAAUAAGCACCGGCUAACUACGUGCCAGCCGCCGCGGUAACAC
rnacentral:rRNA from 1 species